rnacentral:miRNA from 1 species
UGUUCUUGGCUUAUAAGUCUUUGUGU